CAGGGCUUUCUACUCUGAGAACUUCAAAAUGUCUCUGGACAACUUGUUCCAAAACUACACUAAGCUUGUGGUGAAAAAGUUUUUAACUACAACAGAGAGGUUUUAAAGAAGAGAGAGACAGACUUUCCUGAAGGCUGUGCAGUGAAUGGACAAGACAUGUUGGGCACAAGUUGCAAGAAGGGAAACAGUUCUUCAAAAUAGCUAGCAUUCUAAACCAGAGUUGAAGUAAAAAGCUGAGGAGGAGAGGGACAAAAAAAAGAAUUACCUCUUUGGAUGAAUUAGCUAAGAAGCAAAGAGCUUCAUGAAUUAUCACAUUGUAUCAUCACAGUUUCAUAAUAAUUUCUAUUGACUUCAGCUCCAAGAAGUGAGAAGGUCAACUUAUUGAAGUGCAAUGCUGAUAACCAACUAGUGCUCAGACUGGAGUGUUCUCAUUUGUCCUCCAUGGUCUCUGAGAGAGAGCAAGACCCUGGAAUCUGGCCUGUUUGCUCAGGACUAUGCUCCUGCUGGAGCUGACUUUACAAAUUUCCUUCACAGCACGGCGAUGUGGAUGGAUGCACUCACCAGCUGCUUUCAUUUGUUGAUCAAAGUUCUCCAUUCUGUCACAGACCUCUCCUAUUUAAUCAAAUCCGCAUUCCCCGGGGGUAAUGAACAUGGAAUACAUGUAUCUUUUUAAAAAAAUGGAUAGAUUAUCAUCUAUCUUUUUUUCACAUGGAUGAUUUUUCCACCAAGGUGCUGGAUGGUCUGUGGAGAACCCAGAUGCUUCCUUUGGACUGUUGGUUUUUUGUUUGUUUUUUUUUUUUUUUUCUGAAGAAAGUAAACCGCUUUGGUAUUUUUUCAGUAACUGCACAUAAUUUGUUUAAACAGAGGACACAUUUGUCUUUCAAAUUAAUCCCCUCAACAGCAGAGCUUUUUUAAAAAAAAUUAAUAUCUGCCUAGUCUUUACCCCUGAGAACUAUCUUGUACCUCUAGUCACCAUUUCCAUCAUGGCUUGGUGAAAGGAAAUUAGUUAUUACCUUCAUCAUUGUAAAAUGCACAUAUAAGGUGACAGGAAAAAAAAGGAUGCUAGAUUUAAUUCUGGUGUAAAUGUUUAUUUUCAGGAGAUGAAGAUAUUCUUUGGACUGAUUUUUGUUCCCUCUACAUUCAAGGAGGUGGUAGCUAUUGUAAAGAUAUUUUUUCUUUGGCAAAGAUAGUGGAAGUUAUGUCUGGCCAAAAGUGGUCAUAAAUUUUAGUUUUGGUGUGUUUUAUUUGGUUAUAAGACUGUUUUCAUUAAUUAUGUAAGUCUCCAGUAGCUGAGGAGAUAAGCUUCAAUAUCA